rnacentral:rRNA from 1 species
UCGAUGGUAGGAUAGAGGCCUACCAUGGUGGUAACGGGUAACGGGGAAUUAUGGUUCGAUUCCGGAGAGGGAGCCUGAGAAACGGCUACCACAUCCAAGGAAGGCAGCAGGCGCGCAAAUUACCCAAUCCCGACACGGGGAGGUAGUGACAAUAAAUAACAAUACGGGGCUCUUUCGGGUCUCGUAAUUGGAAUGAGUACAAUUUAAAUCCCUUAACGAGGAACAAUUGGAGGGCAAGUCUGGUGCCAGCAGCCGCGGUAAUUCCAGCUCCAAUAGCGUAUAUUAAAGUUGUUGCAGUUAAAAAGCUCGUAGUUGAAUUUCGGGAUUGACACAUCGGUCGUGCCUUAAGGGGUAUGAACUGGUGUAGUCAAUUUCUCACCUUCUGGAGAACCGCGAUGCCCUUAAUUGGGUGUCGCGGGGAACCAGGACCUUUACUUUGAAAAAAUUAGAGUGUUUAAAGCAGGCAUUUUGCUUGAAUACAUUAGCAUGGAAUAAUAAAAUAGGACGGCAUGAUUCUAUUUUGUUGGUUUCUAGGAUCACCGUAAUGAUUAAUAGGGAUAGUUGGGGGCAUUAGUAUUCAAUUGUCAGAGGUGAAAUUCUUGGAUUUAUUGAAGACUAACUACUGCGAAAGCAUUUGCCAAGGAUGUUUUCAUUAAUCAAGAACGAAAGUUAGGGGAUCGAAGACGAUCAGAUACCGUCGUAGUCUUAACCAUAAACUAUGCCGACUAGGAAUCAGACGAUGUUAAUUUUUUAAUGACUCGUUUGGCACCUUACGGGAAACCAAAGUGUUUGGGUUC